UACAGAGGUCUCAAGCGUUGUUCGGAAUCACUGGGCGUAAAGGGUGCGUAGGUGGUCGGGUAAGUCUGAUGUGAAAUCUCCGAGCUUAACUCGGAAAUGGCAUUGGAUACUAUUCGGCUAGAGGGUUUGAGGGGGGACUGGAAUACUUGGUGUAGCAGUGAAAUGCGUAGAUAUCAAGUGGAACACCAGUGGCGAAGGCGAGUCCCUGGAAAACUCCUGACACUGAGGCACGAAAGCUAGGGGAGCAAACAGG
rnacentral:rRNA from 1 species